GACGAACGCUGGCGGCGUGCUUAACACAUGCAAGUCGAACGAUGAAGCUGGAGCUUGCUCCGGUGGAUUAGUGGCGAACGGGUGAGUAACACGUGAGCAAUCCGCCCUUGACUCUGGGAUAACUGCGGGAAACUGUAGCUAAUACCGGAUAUGAGGCUUGGAGGCAUCUCCAGGUCUGGAAAGAAUUUCGGUCAAGGAUGAGCUCGCGGCCUAUCAGCUAGUUGGUGAGGUAAUGGCUCACCAAGGCGACGACGGGUAGCCGGACUGAGAGGGUGACCGGCCACACUGGGACUGAGACACGGCCCAGACUCCUACGGGAGGCAGCAGUGGGGAAUAUUGCACAAUGGGCGAAAGCCUGAUGCAGCAACGCCGCGUGAGGGAUGAAGGCCUUCGGGUUGUAAACCUCUUUUAGCAGGGAAGAAGCGAAAGUGACGGUACCUGCAGAAAAAGCACCGGCUAACUACGUGCCAGCCGCCGCGGUAA
rnacentral:rRNA from 1 species